GGCCUUAUGGUCUAGUAGUAUGAUUCUCGCUUUGGGUAAAGCUCCUGCGAGAGGUCCUGGGUUCAAUUCCCAGUGAGGCCC